rnacentral:lncRNA from 1 species
UUUAGAACUUUGUUUAUCAAAUAGCAAAAAUUUUUUGAAAAAAUCAUCGACUUGCAAAAUUGUGUUCACAAAUGACUGAUAUACUAAAUAUGAAAUAUUCAAGAUACGUCAUGACGUCAUCUAUAAAAUACCUUCAAUCAAAAGUGUUUUGUCAUUCUAUAAGGAAAUGUGUUCGCGGGUGAGAGAUGACGUCAUCCCAAGAAACUGGACGAAUCUAGUAAGCUAGCUCUCAUCACCAUCUCCAUGACCAAUAAAGGCGUCAACUAGUAUCAAAAGAGUGCAUUGCAUUUGGAGAAUGAAAGACAAGAAGCUCUGGAAUAUGCAAUUUUUAUGGGAGAAACUGUUUUGUCAGCACAAGAUCUCUAUGACAAACUCUCUUCGGAAUCAUUGCCCUCGGGGUUCUUGUUGCUUAAAAAUCCAAAAGUUGCACUUGUCAAAAUCAUACAUUCAGAUAUGAAAGGGCAAGACAAUGCAGCUUGCCUGGAGAUGAAAAAAAAAGCUCUCCUUCAGAAUUUUUGACAAACGAGCUAAAUAAUAGCUUUGUGUCACAUUGCAUAAAUUCCGACAAUAAAAUUAAUGCUGGAGCCAUCAACAUUACCGUUUUUCUGGUCUCUACGGAUGGUCAGAGAGAGAAUGAGGCAUUUGUGGACAGCUUGUUUAUUUUUCAGAGAAGGAAGAACUUGGUAUAUCCAAAUAUUACCUCUGCACAGAAUAUUAUUUAAUCUAAAUCACAAUUAUUGUUAAUACUCUGAUGGAAAAUUCUACGUAAAGGAAAAUCAAACAUAUAAAACGGUUUUUACAAUAACAGGAAUGGCCUGUUUUUACCAAGAAAUAGUUAGCAUGGUGCAUGUAUCAAUUAAAGAUAGCUGCCUCUAAAAUAAAAAAAGGAUUCUAGUCAUUAAAAAAAAUAUAUAUAAGUGAAUUCUUCAUCGUCUUAUCAAUCUGCCAUAUCAACAAAAAUAAUUUAGUGAAUAUACUUAGUUGUACUUUAGUGAAAAACUUUUUAUUUAACAAAUAUCGAAAGGAUACUACUUAAACGUAAAUAGUUUCCUUAUUUGACACAAUUAUUCUCGCUCAAGAAGAUCCAAAAAAGAAUAAUUUCUCAAAUAGUAUCCCUGAAAGUAGAUCAAUAUGAUAUGACAAUUGAGAAGAUUAUGGGGAAAUUUCCCUACUAAAUAACUUUAUCUAGAUGAUCCUCAACACUAGCAAGGAAUAGUAUUUAUAUUGUCGGAUAUAUAGUACAAUCAUUAUCCAAAAACUUGCUAUGUCUGCACAUCUCUCAAAAUAUAUAACUAUGAUAUGGCCUUAAAUCAAGUAAAAUAAUUAUUCAAAACCUUUAGUUAUCCUAUUACCUUCAACUAGAAAUGAACUUCGUUCAUAAAUUAAAGAAACUUACGUGAAAGUGAGAUACGUUCAAGUCUUUUAGCAAUGAUCAGAGAUUCAUUUUACGUAGACUAAUCUGUGUACACGAAAUGUAGUAAUAUACUAUAAUCACUUUAUUUUUAGUUGAGGGUAUUAUGAUAGUUUUUAAUAAGUAACAGUAAUUGAGUAUUUAAUCUGUGUGUUAUUAAAUAUCCUGUGAAAUACUUUCAACAACUUCUAAAUCUGGCCAAUGUUUCUCUACCUUUAUUCCUAAAAUAGUCGAAAAACUUUUCAACGUCGUGAUGAAGAAUUUUGCGUUGCAUACUGAAGAUAAAAUAUAUUUGGCAUCAACAGUACAACAACAACAAAAAAUGCCAAACUUCAUUCGACUUAACAGAUGAUUGCACUUCCAAUAUUAUAUUUUUAUCAUUACAUACGGAAUAAAAACUAUUUUUUAACUAAUGGGAAAAAAUAUAUAUGCUAAAUAAAUAUCGAAAGUAA